GACGAACCUUGCUAACGUUAUUCGGAAUUACUGGGCUUAAAGGGUGCGUAGGCUGUGCGGAAAGUUGGGUGUGAAAUCCCUCGGCUCAACCGAGGAACUGCGCCCAAAACUACCGUACUCGAGGAAGAUAGAGGUGAGCGGAACUUACGGUGGAGCGGUGAAAUGCGUUGAUAUCGUAAGGAACACCCGUGGCGAAAGCGGCUCACUGGGUCUUUUCUGACGCUGAUGCACGAAAGCUAGGGGAGCAAACGGG
rnacentral:rRNA from 1 species